CUAGGAGUAAGGCCAGUGGCUCCAGGAGUCGCUGAAGGAGUUAAGAGUGGGUUUGGUGUUUGAACUUCCCUUUUCUCAGGAGUGACACCAGAAAAAUCUAAGCGGUGCAGCAUAAGAUUAUCCCCUCCAAGUAAUGGUGUCUGAGACUGAGUCAAUCUUCGUUGAUUUUCUGCUUCCAUCAUAAUGGCAUCUUGCUUAGUUGAAGGGGUUCUUUGAGGUGUUCGCAUAGGAGUCAUUGCAUGAUGUCCCAUUAAGAGUGGGUUUGGUGUUUGAACUUCCCUUUUCUCAGGAGUGACACCAGAAAAAUCUAAGCGGUGCAGCAUAAGAUUAUCCCCUCCAAGUAAUGGUGUCUGAGACUGAGUCAAUCUUCGUUGAUUUUCUGCUUCCAUCACAAUAGCAUCUUGCCUAGUUCAAGGGGUUCUUUGAGGCGUUCACAUAUGAGUCAAUGCAUGAUGUGGUGUCUGGGCAUAAUUUGCAAGAAGAGCAUGUGUUGCAGCAUUCCCUUCAGAGAGUUCAUCACCCCCUAGUAGAUCACUGGCAAUACCUAUCUUUGCUAUGGCCCCAAUUCAUGGUCUGGAAUCUGUGGUGCAGGAAGAUUGAGUUUCGACCUCUUCCUCACUGUUUCUGGAUCUUUAAGUUUAUUUGCAUGCAAUAUGGCUUUAGGAGCAUCCUGCCUUUCUGCAAUUUUAUUCCUUGCAAUAUCAUGCUUUCUUAAACGAGCUUCCUUGUCGACUCUCCUCUUCUAGUUCUUCAAUGGUAGUUGGAAACUUAGGUUGCUCUAGUGGACGGGGUUCCUCCGCAACAUCAUAGAAACCUGGAGGAGGCUUCUUUUCAAAGGGUAUUUCAGCAUUAUAAUCAAUUCCUCUCCUUUUCCUCUUCCUUUGACGGGCAUCUAUUCCAACAGCCUUCACUUCUCUCCUUUUCUGUAAGGAAGCAAGCCUUCGAGCCUCUUCAUGCUGUUUUUCUCUAGCUUUUCUUUUAGCCUUCUUACCUCUUGUGUUGGCCAACCGAGCCCGUGCUUCAGACAGCAUUUCUGUCUCAUCCUCGUCUCUAUCAACAGGAUCUGGACGAGCAGGCUUUGAUUCUGGAUUAGGAUCAAUCUCUCCAGGCUUCAAUUUUCUUGGAUCGUCAUUAGGGUCAUAUUUUUCAUCUUUAGCACAUGCUGCAUCGAGAAGCUUUUCAUAGCGUUCAAGGCACUGGGAUGGUGUACAACCAACAAUUGGUGCAAUAGUCCUCCAUUCAGUUGGCAUGAGCUUUGCAAGGUAACUAGUUUCUCAUCUUCUUCUCUAGUCCAUUCAGUCUGAGAAAAAAGAGCAGCGAGGAUGUUUAUAAGUUGUUAAACUCAGAUAUAAGUUCCUACAACAACUUUCGGAAUUCCAUUCCGAUCCUCAGAUCAAAAACAUACUAUCGGACCGGAAGCUUCAAAAAUUCAAACUUCGGCAUUCCUAGCCUAAAUGAGCUAUGGACCUCCAUAAUACAUUUCGGACACAUUCCUAACCUCAAAAUCACCUAACUGAGCUAACGGAACCAUCAAAUUUCCAUUCCGAUGCCUUCUUCACAUUGUUCCGAUUACAGAAUCCUUUCCAACAUUUAAGCUCUCAUUUAAGGACUAAGUGUUCCAAAAUACUCUGAAUCCCGAUACCGAACGUUCCACUAAACCAAAAUAGUAGAAAUAAACUUAGGGGAAGCAGUUAAUGGGAGAUCGGGGCAUAAAUUCUAAAAAUGACCGGCUGGGUCGUUACAGAAAUGUGUUGACUUGGUCAGCCUAUCAACGAUGACCCAUACUGUGUCGAAUAUUUUUCGAGUUAGUGGGAGUCCAAUAACGAAAUCCAUAGUAAUCCUCUCCCACUUCCACUCGGGAAGCUCAAUCCUCUGAAACAAUCCAUCGGGUCUCUCAUGAUCACACUUAACUUGCUGACAAUUCAAACAUUGAGCCAUAUAUGCAACAAUAUCUUUCUUCAUUAUACGACAUCAAUAAUGCUGCCGCAAAUCCUGAUACAUCUUCGCGGCGCCCGGAUGAAUAGAAUACCGGGAGCUAUGUGCCUCUGCUAAGAUCAACUCUCGAAGCCAAUCUACAUUGGGCACACAAACUCGCCCCUGCAAUCUCAAAACUCCAUCAUCAUCUAAGGUCACAUGCUUGGCAGCUCCACGCUGCACCAUGUCUCUAAGGACACACAAAUGGGAAUAAUCAAAUUGCCAAUCAAGGAUAUGCUCCAAUAAUGAAGAAUGAGUGACCAUGCAAGGUAACACCCGACUAGGAUCAGAAAUAUCCAACCUUACGAAUCGAUUGGCCAAGGCCUGAAAAUUCAAAGAAAGCGGUCUCUAACUGACCGAAAUAUAAGCAAGGCUGCCCAUAUUGGCUGAAUUCCUACUCAAGGCAUCGGCCACCACAUUAGUCUUCCCCGGGUGAUACAAGAUAGUGACAUCAUAAUAUUUCAACAACUCCAACCACCUUCUAUGCCUCAAAUUCAACUCCUUUUACUUGAACAAGUACUUAAUGCUCUUGUGAUCAGUGAACACCUCACAUGUCACGCCAUAUAGAUAAUGCAUCCAAAUCUUCAAUGCAUGAACAAUGGCUGCCAACUCUAGAUCAUGAACCGGAUAAUUCUUCUCGCGAAUUUUCAACUGCCUUGAAGCAUAGGCAAUAACCCUGCCCUCGUGCAUCAACACUGCACCAAGACCAAUACGGGAAGCAUCAUAAUAAAUUUCAUAAGGCCCUGAACCUGUGGACAAAACCAACACUAGUGACAUAAUCAGAGCUGUCUUGAGCUUCUGAAAGCUCACCUCACACUCGUCCGACCAUCUGAAUUCGGCACUCUUCUGGGUCAACCUGGUCACUCAGGCUGCAAUGGACGGGAACCCUUCCACGAACCGACGAUAGUUUCCUGCCAACGCCGAGAAACUCUGAAUAACCAUAUCUGAUGCUGGUCGAGGCCAGUUCUUGACUGCCUCAAUCAUCUUUGGAUCAACCUAAAUACCCUCCACUGAUACAACAUGACCAGGAAUACAACCGAACUCAACUAGAACUCAGAUUCCGAGAACUUAGCAUAUAACUGACGAUCCUUAAGAGUCUGAAGAACAACUCCAAACUACGAGAGUAUAUCAUAAUAUCAUUAAUAAAAGACUAGUACGAACAAGUCCAAAUAAGGCCUGAACACUCGGUUUAUCAACUCCAUAUACGAUGUUGGGGCAUUGGUCAACCCGAAUGACAUAACCAAGAACUCAUAAUUCCCGCACCGAGUGCGGAAAGGUGUAUUAGGAACAACGGAUGCCCUAAUCCUCAAUUGAUGGUAGCCAGAUCUCAAGUCUAUCUUUGAAAAUACCUUGGCACCCUAAAGCUGAUUGAACCUCGGUAGUGGAUACUUAUUCUUGAUUGUAACCUUGUUUAAUUGCUGGUAAUCAAUGCAAAUUCUCAUUGAUCCAUCCUUUUUCUUCAUAAACAACACCGGCACACCCCAUGGCAAAACUCUAGGUCUAAUGAAACCCUUCUUGAGCAAAUCUUGCAAUUGCUCCUUUAACUCUUUCAACUCUAGCAGGGCCAUGCGCUACGGCGGGAUAGAAAAGGGUUGAGUUCCCAAAUUCGAAAUCAAUACAGAAGUCGAUAUCCCUAUCGGGCGGCAUACCCGGCAGGUCUGAAGAGAAAACCUCAGGAAACUGCCAAACAAAGGGCGCAGAAUCAGUAGAAGGGACCUCCGCACUAGAAUCGCAAACAUACGCCAAAUAGGCCAAACACCCAUUCUUGACCAUACGUCGAGCCUUCAAAUACGAGAUAACACUGUGAGUAGAAUGACCAGGAGUCUCCCUCCACUCCAAAUUGGGCAAAUUCGGUAAGGCUAAGGUCAUGGUCUUGGCAUGGUAGUCAAAGAUAACAUGGUAAGGUGACAACCAGUCCAUUCCCAAUAUAACAUCAAAAUCUACCAUGUCUAAAAGCAACAAAUCAACACGGGUCUGAAGACCCCCAAUCACGACAAAACAAGAACGAUGAACUCGAUCGACCAUAAUAGAAUCACCCACCGGUGUAGACACAUAAAAACAAAUACUCAAUGAAUCACUACGCAUUAUGAGAUACGGUGAAAAAUAAUAUGACACAUAUGAGUACAUAGACCCUGGAUCAAAUAGCACUGAAGCAUCUCUAUCACAAACAAGAAUAGAACUUGUAAUGACUGCAUCUGAAGACCCAGCCUCGGGCCUGGACGAAAGAGCAUAACAUCGGGGUUGGGCCCCACCACCCUGCACUACCUCUCUAGGACGGCCUGCUACUGGCUGGCCUCCGCCUCUGGCAGCCUCAACUCCACCUCUAGGACAUGUACUUUCAUCUCAAGCACCUCUACCCCCACCCAUAGCUGGUUGGGCAGCCAUUGGAACACCUGGUGCCUGAAUCAUGGCACGGGAACCCUGUAUAGAGAACUGCUCGAAGCUCGAGGAAAACCUAGCAAUGUGCCUCGAGUCAACACAAGUACCACAAAUCACCACCUUGGAAACUCUGAAGUAGUGGUGCAUUGAUAAGUGUUGGCGGUGCAGUGAAGGACUGCUAAUCAGAAUAUUACAUCGGAGGACUGUGGCUACCUCAAGCGCCAUGAGAAACUUGAAGAGCUGAUUGAAAUGGCCUAGGAUGAUGGCCUCUACCAUAAGAAUCUCUUCCUCCAGACGAAGCGCCACUAAAUCUGCCUGAAUAACAAGGCCUCUUAUCUGACCCAUGACCACCUCUCUGUGACAGAACCAUCUCAACUCGGGGGGCCACAUUGGCCGCCUCCUAAAAAGUGAUCUCACUCCCAGUCUCCCUGGCCAUCUGAAGAUGAAUCGGCUGAAUCAAAUCAUCAAUAAACUUCUACACUCUCUCUCUCUCUCUCUCUCUCUCUCUCUCUCUCUCUCUCUUUCUCUCUCUCUCUCUCUCUCUCUCUCUUUCUCUCUCGGUAGGAAGUAUGACAAGAGAAUUGCGAGAUAAGUCGAUAAACCUGGUCUCAUACUGGGUAACAGCCAUGGAACCCUGCUAGAGACGCUCAAAUUGGCUCCGAUAUGCCUCUCUUUGAGUAAUGAGGAGAAACUUCCCUAGAAAAAACUCUAAAAACUUCUCCCAAGUCAACGAUGGCGACCUUGUUGGCCUGCCUAAGCAAUAAUCCCUCCACCAAGUCUUGGCGGAUCCAGAUAGGCGAAAUAUAGCAAAAUCAACCCCAUUGGUCUUAACAAUGCCUAUGUUCCUGAGAACCUCAUGGCAAUUAUAUAAGAAAUCAUGGGGAUCCUCAGAAAAAGCACCACUGAAAGUAGUAGUGAACAGCUUGGUGAACUGAUCCAGUCUCCACAAAGCAUCGGCGGACAUGGCCGCUCCAUCACCGGUAUGAGCCACUACACCCGGCUAAAAUACCAUAGCUGGCUGAACCACUAGAACAUGAGCCUGGGAGCUACCCGCUCCGAAGUGCGAGUAGCGGGAGUUUGGGCUCCUCCUCUAGCCUGAGAAAUGGCUGGUGAUAUAGGAAGCAACCCUGCUCGGGUGACACUCUCCAUGAGGCCCACCAAUCGGACCAGAGCGUCCUGAAAAACUAGGGUGACAAUAAACCCCUCUGGGACCUGAGCUGGGCCCACCGGAACUGCUGGGGCUAGAACCUCUUCAUCAAAAUUAACCUGAGGCUCUGCCACUUGUGCUGCUACUCGGGGUUGAGCUAUGCCCCUACCUCGGCCUCUAGCACAGCCUCAGCCUCACCCUCUGCCCCUCGUGGGAGCUGCUCCUGGGGGGCCGGGCUGCUGAGCGGUAGAUGAGGAAGCGCGUCUACGAAAGAACAGAGUAGAAAGGAAAUUAGUAUUGGGAAACAAAAUCGCACGACAAGAAAGAACAAAUGUGAAGUUUUCCUAACUAUGUAGCCUCUGGAGGAUAAAUACAGAUGUCUCUGUACCGAUCCCUUAGACUCUACUGAGCUUGUUCAUGAGUUGUGAGACCUAUGUAACCUAGUGUUCUUAUAUCAACUUGUCACGAUCCGGAAUUUCCACCCUCGGGAGUCGUGAUGGUGCCUACUCGUAAAAGCUAGGCAAGCCACAUUCAUAUAUUCCUAGCUCUUUUAUCUUAAACCAUUUUAUAAAACAUAACAACAAGUGUUAAAUUAUUAAAAAAUAGCGUAAACAUGAACUUAAAGCGGAAGACUUAAAUUAAGUAAACUGAACAACAAUGCAGAAAUCAACAUAUAUCUCUACCCAAGAACUGGUGUCACAUUACUCAUGCACUAUUAAGAAAACUAAAUACAACUGUUUGAAAUAAAUAUAAUAUUAUUUGUCUCGAAUACAUGAGAUAACAGAAUAAAAAGUAAGAUAGAUGAGACGCUGGGCCUGCGAACAUCUGCUAGGCUACCUCGGUGUCUCGGUGGACUGAAGGCUGACUCCAGAUCUAAUGCUGCUGCUCGAACGCUGCUCCGGUAUCUGCACAUAAUUGUAAAGUGUAGCAUCAGCACAACCGACCCCAUGUGCUGGUAACUAUCUAAUCUAACCCCGGCAAAGUAGUGACGAGGCUAGGACCAGACUCCAGAUAUACAUGUGAAGUUAUAUAAUAUAUGGCAAAAAAGUGAACAUGUAAGAAGAAAUUUAAUGUUGGGGAAGGAAAAACAUGCUUUGGGGAUGGCAGUUAAAGUAGCAUAUCAAGAAUAAUAUAGAAACUACAAUUUAACUUCUAACACAGGUAAAGGGGAAAUAAAGGCAACUUUUAUCUUUCAUUUCAUCUCGUUGCAGGCGUGCAACUCGAUCCCAUUUAUCAUAUCUCGUGGUAGGCGUACCACCCGCUCCCAUUUCAUUAUAUCUUGUAGAAGGCAUACCACCCGCUCCGAUUUCAUCAAUAACUUGUGGUAGGAAUACCACCUCUCCCAUUUCAUCAUUAACUUGUGGUAGGAGUACCACUCGCUCCCAUUUCAAUAUCGCUUAUGGUAGGCGUACCACCUGGUCCCAUUUAUUCCAACACAAUACAUAAUACAAUCCCGACUAGGGAACAGAAUAAUAUAAUAACUUCCCAGAAAGGGAAUACAAGCAAAAUAAUAACUUUCCAGAAAGGGAGACAAUAACAACAAAUCAAACAUCCCGGCAAGGGAGAGUCAACUAUAACCAAUCCUAUUCAACUUCUACUUGACACAAUCAAUAUUAAUACUCAAUCAUGACUAAAGUCCACGGGAAUAAGCUAAGUCUUUACUCAGUAUCAAGGAUCACCAAUCAAAGCAAUCACAAAAUCAAUUAAGAAUACACAAUUACCAAUUUAAGACCCAUGGUCAUGCUCAACACCGACGUAUAGAUACUCGUCAGUGUGCAUAUACGCCAUACUCAACACUAAACAAAUAGCAAAUUUGACUCAACUCCCAAUCCCUCAAGCUAAUGUUAUACCGAACACUUACCUCGAUGCUUUGAACUCGACUCAAGUCUAAAUUAUAGCUUUACCCCUUGAUUCCACCAUAAAUCCGCUCGAAUCUAGUCACAAGUUACUUAAUUACAUCAAUAAAUGCUAAAUGAAUCACUUUGAAUGCAUACAACUGAAUUUUCCAAAGUUUUGCCAUAAAAGUCCAAAAUCUCCCCCGGCCCACGUGGUCAAAACCUGAGGUUCGGACCAAACCUCGAUUACCUAUUCCCCCACGAACCCAAAGAUAUAAUUUGUUUUGAAAUCGGACCUCAAAUUUAGGUCCAAAUCUCAAAUUCUAGAAAAACCCAUGUUCUACCCAAAACACCCAAUUUUUCCCAUAAAAAUCUUUGAUUUCAAGUUGAAAACUUGUUAAAUGAUGUUAAUGAUUGAAAGAAAUGAGUAAAAACUAACUUACAAUUGAUUUGGACAAACUCUUAUUCUUGAAAAAUCGCCCAAAAAAGUUUGUGUUUUGAAAGAAUGUUAAACAUUGCUCAAAUUUCGGCUAAGUGUAAAAUAUGCAGGUCUCAUACGUUGGAAAUGCGAACAAGAUUACGAACCCCAACCCUGCUGGUAAAGGAAUUGCGAGAAAAUAGUUCGCAUUUGCGAACACUGCCAAAAUUUUGAACAUUCGCAUUUGCGAGACAUGUAUCGCAUUUGCAGUGGUCGCAUUUGCUACAUAUUGAUCGCAUUUAUGAUCCCUGGUAUGGGGGCUUUUCGCAUUUGCGAUCUCGCAUUUCCGAUCUCGCAUUUGCGAGCCAGGCAGGUCAGUGCAUACCAACAACUUUUCAAGGUUCAAAACAUAACUUGCGGCUAUCCAAAACUCACCCCGAGCCCUCGGGGCUCAAAACCAAAUGUACACACUACCUCUAAAAUAUCCUACGAACUUAUGUGGGCGAUCAAAUAGCUAAAAUAACAUCAUAUACAUUAAAUUAAGCCUCAAAAUCCAUGAAUUCUUUCAAAUUUCAUAAAACAUCAAAAAUUUCCAUUUUAAGUCCGAAACACGUCAUACGAUGUCUGUUUUCAACCAAACUUCACAUAAAGUACUUAAACCAUAUAUAAGACAUGUACUGGGCACCGGAACCAAAAUACGGGCCCCAUACCAUCACUUUCUAAUCAGAUUUUAUUUUCAAUUUUCUUAAAUAUUUUCAUAAAGACAAUUUUACUCAAAAAUUCAUCUCCAGGGCUUGGGACCUCGAAAUUCGAUUUCAGGCAUACGUCCAAGUCUUAUAUUUUUCUACUGACCUUUCGGGACCAUCAAAUUACGGAUCUGGAUCCGUUUACCCAAAAUAUUAACCAAAUUCAAAUUUAUUCAUUUUAAUAUUAAAACUUAGCAUUUUUUACAGAAUUUUAUAUUUAAGCUUUUCGGUUAUGCGUCCGGACUGUGCACGUAAAUCGAGACAAUCCUGAAUGAGGUUUUCAAGACCUCGGAGACACAGAAUUCAAUUAAAAAUAGGUAUUGACAUUUUGGGUUGUCAUAAUAUAUUUUAAGAAUAAAAAGGCGAGCAACUAAACAUCUUAGUACUUCUAAUAUAAUAUAGAUAGAUAAGUAUUUUUGUUUGACCAAGUCUUUUACGAUUUUAUCGCUAUUAUAUUUUGUAACGAAUAACUCUUCCUAAAACAUAGUACCUUUUAAUUAUGUCUCUAUUCUAUUUCCAUCACUUGUCCUUUUUAUGUAAAAUAAAUUUAAUUAUGUUUUUUUAUAAACAAUUUUAAGGAUAUGCUAAUCAUUUUAAUUGAGAAAGUUGUUAUCAUCACUUUUUUAACAAACACACGAUCAACUUUAAGAUUUCUAUUCAAAUGGACUUUAAAUUUAUCUAUCUAUCAAUCAUCUUUUUCGAAGGAAUGAAUAUUUAUUAUCACUUGGGUAAAAACCUCGUCGGGUGAUCAAGCCACCCUAAAACCAAUCUCCAAUUAUUUCUUAAGUAAAGUUAUGUGCAUUGAUAAUAUAAAAUAUUUAACAAAGUGAUUAUAUUCAAAAUACUUAAUAAGCAUUAAUUGAUAACUUGAUACAAAUAUUAAUUAAUUUAUUAUCACAUAUUAAACUACUUUGAUAUUAUAAAAGAGUCUUACACUGUCUGAAAAUGACACCACAUAGUUACUUUUAAGCAUCGUAGAGCACUUUUGAGAGACUAUUUAUCUAAAGGAAAGCAUUUUUCAUUUAUUCCAAGUUUAGCCGAUUUAUUUACAAAUAGAAUAGAUUUAAAAAAAUUAAACGUUCAGAAUUUUCCCACAAAUCAAGGGAUCAGUUUUGUUCUAUUUUAAUUUGUUAAUGUUAAGACUAGAAUUUUAUUUAGAGUGAAUAUUUAUCUUUACGUUGAGACUAAGUCAUUUUAUUUUCUUUCUCUUUCUCUACAAUAUUGUUCUUGAUCUUUUAUAUUUUAUAACACGUUAUCAGCACUAAACUCUCAUAUCUCAAAAAUCUCUUUGAUAAAAUUAACAUUACACAUUCAUCUUCUCAUCUCAAAUCACUAGCCAAACUAGCCCGUCGACCAAACACCUCCCUACGCAACAGACCGCUAUCACGUCCUUCACCACACACCUGAACAGCCACCAUUCUCUCGCCACCUCAAAGCCAUCGGACCUCACUGCUGUUCCUAGCAGCAACAGCGUGAAAGAGCAACAAAUGGGGUUCGAACUUGGAAGAGUAUCCAUUGAUGUCCGUAUGAGGUUUCCGGUCCGUAUCUAUGAGCUCGAAGCAACGCUACUCCAUUCACUCGUAUUUCGGAAUAGUUCGUUGUAAGUGCGGUUGAGAUUUCUUUAUAAAUAUUGAAGAAAGCAAUUUUCAGGUUCAUCUCUUUUCUCCUUUACUAUUGAUUUCGCUUGUUUCUGCUUUACUGCUCAUGAUUUCAGUGUUGAUGGUUUGAUCAAAUUUGUCCAUUACUGUUAAAUCUAUCGUUUGGGUUUGAACAGUGACGAAGGUGUCUAGUGUAGAUCUGCACUUAUGAUUACAAGCAUUCUGUUCUUUGUAAAAUAAGAGAAAAUAACAAUUUUGGAUGAAUAGUUGUGUGGUUUGUUGUUCGAAAUUUAAGUGUUGAAACUUUCUGUUUAUAAUUUUUCUUACUUUCUUUGUUAAUUAAAAAAAAAAAGGAGUAAAAGAAGAUAUGCAUUUGUAUUUUCUUUUAAUUAUUUGCCUCGAAUGCAUAAUAUGGUUAUGAAUAUUUUUAUAAUAUUGUUAAGUAUAUGUGAUUUGAUGUUUGAAUAUACAGUAGAACUUUAUCCGGCACUAUUUUGAGGCGCAAAAACUUUAAUCAGUGAAAGGAAGCGUUAGAGUUUUCCUUUUUUUGUUUCAUAUAGCUGCUGGGUUUCUUUACUUGGUUAGAAAAGUGUUUAUUCAUGCUAUUGUGCUAUUUUAUAUCAAAGUAGUCUAGAAAAAUAAUAACAUUAACAUUCAUAGUUUACUUUAGUUGAGUACACUAUUUUGAAAUAAUUUAAGGUGUGCCAUACUAGAUAAAAUCUCAAAACUUAAUUCGAUUGAGCAUAAUGAUUGUAAGUUGUUCCGUGAAUUUCCUUCAUGAUUAAAUUCUGGAUUUAAGGUAAGUAAUUUACUUUUCUCUUUCAAAUUCUUGAAAUUCUACGAUUUGAUUUCAUAUACAAACAUAACAAUUUUGGAUGAAUAGUUGUGUGGUUUGUUGUUCGAAAUUUAAGUGUUGAAACUUUCUGUUUAUAAUUUUUCUUACUUUCUUUGUUAAUUUAAAAAAAAAAAAAGAGUAAAAGAAGAUAUGCAUUUGUAUUUUCUUUUAAUUAUUUGCCUCAAAUGCAUAAUAUGGUUAUGAAUAUUUUUAUAAUAUUGUUAAGUAUAUGUGAUUUGAUGUUUGAAUAUACAGUAGAACUUUAUCCGGCACUAUUUUGAGGCGCAAAAACUUUAAUCAGUGAAAGGAAGCGUUAGAGUUUUCCUUUUUUUGUUUCAUAUAGCUGCUGGGUUUCUUUACUUGGUUAGAAAAGUGUUUAUUCAUGCUAUUGUGCUAUUUUAUAUCAAAGUAGUAAGUUUUCUUUGGACCAAUUAAGCCAUGGAAUAGCCCAACCCAUGGAACAUAUAUACUACAGUCUCAGGUGGGGAAUAGCCGACAUCAAGACAUCAAGGUUCAUCUGCUGGUGGGAAUAGCCCGGUGUAUUAAGCUUCCGCUAUGCGUGAGGUUCGAGGAGGUGGGAAUAGCCCAUUGUACUAAACUCCCGCUAUGCGUGAGGUUCGGGAAGGUGGGAAUAGCCCAGUGUAUUAAGCUCCCGCUAUGUGUGAGGUUCAGGAAGGUGGGAAUAGCCCAGUGUACUACGCUCCCGCUAUGCGUGGGGUUCGGGGAAGGGCCGGACCACAAGGGUCUAUUGUACGCAGUCUUACCCAGUAUUUCCGCAAGAGGUUGUUUCUACGGCUCGACUCUUGACCUACUAGUCACGUGGCAACAACUUUACCAGUUAAGCCAAAGGUCCCCUCGAUAAACCUCACACAAGCCCAAAAAAAUUAUGAACUAGAUUGUUCAGUUAUACAAACUAAUGGUUAUUGAAAGAUAAAUACAUGGGCAAAAAUAAAGAUUUGGAAGGAGAAGAACUUUGUCAUUAGCAUUGCAGCAGAAUGUGAUCCCCAUUUAGCUCUUACAAAAUCAAGGAUAAGUAUUGAAACUUGUCCAACCACAACAUAUGAAAAUAUCCAAGUUUUUUUAUCACUAAAAGGACAUGAAAUGCAGAUUAAAAGGUUGACUAAAUUUUCAAAUGAAACUGGCCUUCCAUAUAGCAUUUGGAAGAGCUUCUAACAUAGGAACAUGAUAAAGGUUUUGAUGCCACAGAAAUUGGAAUAUCUUCUUAAAGACGGGGAUCGAUCAUGUCAGUAACCGGUCAUAAACUGUUACUUGUCUCCACUUUCUUCGGCCACUCCUGCCAAAUCUCGCUGCAGAUAUUUAACCAAACAGAAAAAUGAAGAAUAUUUGGCUAAUCGUUACUUAAUGUCGAUGCUUGAACUCAAAAACUUCUUACCUGAACGCAAGAUGCUGCAUAGUGCACGUCAUUUUCUGAAAUCUGGUGAUGAAUAACAUAUCUGAUUCUGCAAUAGAAGUUCCCAAACAUUUUCUUAAGAGAUGCUGAAAAUUUCACAAGGGCUUGGUUUGUAAAUUAUAGGAUCAUGUUCCGAAAGUUACAAUGCUAUUGGUAUGAUAUAACCAUCAAAACUAUACAAAAGAUUGUCGUCAAGAGAGGAAAAGAUAGAGGUGUCCAUAUGUAUCAGCAUAUGUUGCGUCUAUUGGUGUAAUAAUCCAAGUGUUUGUACCUCCUCUUGAACAUGCAUGCUAUUAAAUUUCUCACUAGUUGGUGAACUCCAAAUGAGCUCAUUAGCGCACAUAAACAAUCUAGGAAAUAAAGUACAUGUGCUUGGCCUCUGUGGCCCUUCUGGUAGUAUAAGUAAACCAUGUUGUUCCAAAGUCUUGCACAUCUCUGUUUCGCUUAUCUUUGACCCCUUCAGUAUACCGCAACAUACAAUGUUAGUCUCUACGGUAGCAAUAUCAACUUUCAGCCCUUUGAUUUUGUGAAGUUCCUCGGCCAAAAUCUUAGCCUUUUUGUGAUCUCCUUCCAACUUAACAAGAUUCUCUUGGAAAGCGAUAAGGGCAACAGUACAAAGGACACCAUCUUAUCUUUGACCCCUUCAGUAUAUCGCAAUAUACCUGAUGAUAGAAAAAAAAUCUUAAUGCGAACUUUGCUCCCAGGAGCUAAAAGAAAAUUUUACAUUGGCGAUCUGAUAUGCGUCUGUCUGUUUUUGUGGAUUACUAGAGAGGAUAGAUUCAUUUCAUAGAGAAGACAUCGCCAGCCAAGAGCCGUUUCUUCCUUCUUGUCAAUUUGAUGUUAACUUUAUGUUUUGGGAGUGUGUGAACAAAAUCCCACAUGGAAAGUAGAAAAUAAAAAUAAGCUACAUAUACGGAGUUGGAUACUCUUAAUGGAGUGAGGCCUUUUGGUGUGGGCUUGAUCCAAAGAUGACAAGAAAAAUAAGAGUGUAUUUGGGCUGAUUUAACGCAACAGGAGCCAAUGGUUUGGCGAGAUGAGUAUGGAGAUGGCAAAGUAAUGGCGUGGGGCCCGGCUUAGUGACUUUGCCCCUCUAUGGACCGGUUCACUACCUUUACCCAUAGCUUCAAAGACGCAUACACAACAACGAUGAUGGGUCAUGUGGAACUUAGUUCAAAGGAGAGAUUGUUGGGAGUGUGUUAAUAAAGUCCCACAUGAAAAGUAGAAAAGAAAAAUAAGCUACAUAUAAGUAGUUGGAUACUCUUAAAGGUGUGAGACCUUUUGGGAAAAACUGUGCGGGCUUGACCCAAAGCGGCCAAUAUCACACCAUAUUAAAAAGUAUCUUUGGGCCGUUUUAGCCCAACAUUAUGAAUAAAGUUGGUUAAAUAAACCUUAUCGAAGGGAGAAAAUAUUAGCAGCCAAAAUCUUAGCCUUUAUGGUGAUCUCCUUCCAGCUUAACAAGAUUCUCUUGGAAAGUGAUAAAAGCAGCAGCACAAAGGACACCAACCUGCCUCAUUCCACCGAAGGAAACAACAGUUUCCUUUGGCAAGAAACAGAUAAAAUCUUUAUGUAAAAGCAUGGCAAUGAAGCUCUUCGAAACAGAUAAAUACAUAACUUUUCUGUUUCAACUUCAAUAACUGUCCUUGAGGAAACUUGUCCUAUGUCUAAUUGAAGAAGUUAAGUUUCUCUCGGUUGUAAACUCCGCAAAAUCCAUCAGUUGAUGUUCCAACCAAAAUGGUACUCCAAGUCUUAAGAAAAUGAAUUCUAUAUCCCAGUUCAAAAUUUAGCUCUUUCUUAAGUUCAAAAAGGUGCUACUUGUAUGAAACUAGAUUAGGAUAUUCUUUACAGAAACUACUGAAAAUUACUCUAAUUUGAAGAUCCAUCUAUCUGACUCCUUAAUUAUUGACUGACUCCAGACAAAACGUUGUCUCGUAACAAGACGAAAAUGGUGUACUCACAACUUAUGCAUUGAAUAUACGAGCUCCAUCAAUGUGAAUGUGAAGCUUCAGACCAUACUUCUUUGCUAGCUCUCCGACUUUGUCAGUAUACUCUGCAGAAAGGCAUCUGCCGCCUGAGCUGCACUCAUAAAAUAUUGUUGGUUAAGAACUUGCAUUAUAAAAGACAGUCAAUACUCAAAACUGACUAAAGCAACAAAAAAGCAUGACUAAGCAACUAAACUAUAUUUUCGGACAUGAUCCUCGGAAUCAUUUUUUAAAACAAAAACUAUGAAGCAGAGUGUACAAAAAGCACUCCUUGAAUUGAAGGCUGUGCAGUUUUUUGCCACAACCUCUAAAGGAUAGCUACAGAGCUUUUCGUGAUUCAUCUGAGUAUGUGAGAUCGAGGAGCAAACUAAAUUUUUGACUCCUAUUAUGCCAUGAGGAGUUACUGAAUCAUUUAGCAGCCACUUCAGUAACACAACCCUUAGGUUAUCCUAUAAAGUCAAUUUGUUCAGGAAUCCGUAAAUAUCAGGCUAAAUUGUAAACUUCCUCAACUUCAUAGCUUUUGUCCACACCAGUCAGAUUGACGAUAUAAAUACGAGAAAAGUCACAGCAUGUAUUCUACAUUAAGGAAAGAGUUUAAUUUAAGAAAUAUCUAAGAAAAUUAAUACUGGUCAUUAAUUCCUCCCUUCUUUCUAUCAUAUUCAUGCUUCGAUGGAUAGCAUGGAAUGACAACAGCGUAACAGUUGCAGUCAAGAGUCCAAGAGAUGAAGGAAGUAGUUCAGGAUUUCUUUAUAAUGCAGUAUUUGAGGGACAAGAGUCCAAAAUGUAACUCAUAAGUGUCAUUAGUGUGUGUGGAUCAAUGACAGAAUGACCACAUUUGGCAGAAGGUACAAGUAGAAAAGAUUACUUGAGAUGGUUAUUUUACGUUCAAUAUUUGGUAGGAGUCUUUUUAUCUUGUUAGAGAUUCAUAUGCCAAUAGAAAAUGUAGAGAACUUUUAAUGCUAGAGAAACUAAUUUUUUAUCAUAAUAUUGGAAUAAGAUGGGGUUAGAUGAAGUGGCAUGAAUAGUUCGGAUCAUAUAACUGAUCCGAACUUGUUUGGAAUUGAGGCUAGUUGUUAUGGUAGGGCUUAGGAGUAGUAGAUAUAUACACCUCUAACAACUGGCAAAAUUUGAUAGCAUAACCAAAUAAUGCACUUAUAGGUCACGAGUUCGAACCGAGGUACAAUGUCUCUGUGUGAUAUAUAGGUCACAGGUUCAAGCCGUGGAAGCAGUCGCUAAUACUUGCAUUAAGUUAGAAUGUCUACAUCAUACCCUUUGGGUGCGGCCUUUCCCCGUAUAUAUAUAUAUAUAUAUAUAUAGUUGAUGGUGUUGGCUAAAAAAAGGGGAGAAAGGAGAGCUUUAGGGUACGCUCACUUCUACAUUUUUGUUUAGGUGUGAAUGGAAGCCCCCCCCCCCCGAAUCAAGCAAGAAGGAAGCGGCUCUUCCCACGGCGAAGUAUAUAUAUAUAUAUAUAGUGCAAAAAUAAACAGUAAAUAUGGCAGGCUAUUUAUGUAAAGAUCCGCAAAGUUAAAGCACAAUAACACAAGCGUAGAAGCAAAUAUGACGUACCCAUAGAAUGACACAGCAAAUAAAGGACUAUAGAUUUAGUUUCCCAGAAAAAUUGGAAAGGGCAGACUAAUGCAGUUCAUUAUUUUGCAAGGAACAUAGGCAGCUCAACCACAGUUCAAAUUGAUACUUCCAAAUUUUCAUCCAACCAUACAAGACAUUCUUGAAAUAAAGUAAAACUCGGACAAAAAUGUACGAAAAAUGGAUUACAACACAACAAGCGAACCACCGAUCACUUUCUUAGUGGCAAAACUAGAACAUUACUAGUUUCCCGCAUCACUUGCAACUCCCGAAUCUUCUAUUUUAGUAACAUCCUGAGCAUCACCUGCAACUCCAGAAUCUUCUAUUUUGGUACCAUCCUGGUUACUUUCCCCUAUACAGUUUUACUGACCCUCCAUAGGCACAUUCUCACUUGUGGCUUCGGCAUCCAUUGUAGAGUCGUCACUGAUAAUUUUCACCUGUUCCUCAACGUCCUGAGGAGUUGCAUCAUGAGUGGCAGAAGCAGGAUUUUCCCCUGCAUUGGAGCACUGGCCGGUCUCUGAAGAUUCCACAGGCACGUCAUCAGCUUCAAUGACAGAAGCAGAUUUUUCCUCUGCAUUGGAACACUGGCCGGUCUCUGAAGAUUCCACAGGCACGUCAUCAGCUUCAACAGCAGGAGCGGCAGAACCAGAUUCUUCCUCUGCAUUAGAACACUGGCCAGUCUCUGAAGAUUCCACAGGCACAUCAUCAGCUUCAAUAGCAGAUGAUGAUACAUGAGCGGCAGAAGCAAAAGUUUCCUCUGCAUUGGAGCAUUGGCCAGUACCUGAAGAUUCCACCCCAGCUUCAGUAGCAGCAGAUGUGCUCUGCUUUUCUUCCAUUUCUGCCUUGGCCAGCUCAAGAGCACGAUUCUUUGCUGCAAUUUCUUCCUGAAUUUGAGCUUGUAUUCUGUACUCAUCCAUGAGAUGCUGCAUCUUUUCCUUAUCUGCUAUGAGGUCACCGUACCUUUUCUGUAAAGUACGUUCAAGCUCCUUUUGUUUCUGAACUUCUUCCCACAGAUUGUUGAUCCUAUGUGAUGCUGCUAGCUGCUCUUGUUUCUGUAAUGCUCGGAAGCAUUCAAGUUCUGUCCCUGCUGUGUCCAUUUGCUUAAACGUAGCCUCUAUCUGUGACCAGAGUUUUCCAGCUCGCAUCUGCUCACCCACAAUGAAUAUUUGUUAGCUAGAAUUUAUAGCUUAGAUCUCAACAACAACAACAACCCAGUAUAAUCCCACUUAGUGGGAUCGGGGGAGGGUAGUGUGUACGCAGACCUUACCCCUAUCCUUGGUAGAGAGGCUGUUUCCAAAUAGACCCCCGGCAUCCUUUCCCUCCAAAAACUUCCCACCUUGCUCUUGUGGAGACUCGAACUCACAACCUCUUGGUUGGAAGUGAGGGUUGCUUACCAUCAGAGAAACUCCUCUUGUCUAGAGAAACCCCUCUUAGUGCACACAAGAUGCUCUUUUACACAAUGAAUAAUUGUUAGCUGGAAUUUAUAGCUUAUAUCUUAACUCUCAAAACCCAAAAAAAGGAGGUCGGAUAGCCAAGAAAGAUCCAUGUAAGAUCUAGAAACACGUCUGCUUGCAGACUAAGUUGCACGGACUCAUCAAUUUUGGUGCCGUCCCCGUCCCGAUACGAGACUUGGACGGGUGCUGGAGCGGGAAACGUCCCGGAUACGGUCAACCGACUUCGGACACUUUGACCGGAGUCCAUCGACAAAUUUAGGAGAAAAAUUGAGAUUUUAAUUUCUCAAAAUAAAAAAUUAAACAGAUUUAAGUUACGGAAAAUGGCAUACCUUCAAUGAUAUAGUAUUUUUGUCGCAUACAUGAUGCUUUGUGUAUCGGAGAAACCAAAACAUACCUUCAAUGUCAUAGUAUUUUUGUCUCAUAUUUGAUGCUUUGUGUAUCGGAGAAACUAAAAAUUUGAAGUGUCAUUUGAUUUUGUACAUGUAGACCUAGCAUGUAGUCUCAAUAUUUACAAUAUUUUUAUAGCUCUAUUUUUUAUUUUCUUAGCCGUAUCCCUGCGCACCCGUAUCCAUAUCAAGAUUCGCACCCCCGAAUCUUAAAAAUUAGAUUUUACCGAAUCCGAUACUCGGAAUCGUCCCCGUAUCGGAUACCCGCACCCGAGUCCGAGCAACUUAGCUUGCAGAUCAAACCUCCAGACAAAUGAAGCUAUUAACAGAGAACUGUAUAGGAAGUUGUAACCACAUUCAGAUUCAACAAUUAAACCGCUAAAUGUACCUGAUAUCCAUUAGUAAGGACUUUGAUCUUCUGCUCAAGCCUUGUUGCUUUCUUAGUAUCAUCAUCCAUUUUCUUCUUUACAUUCUCAAACUCAUUCUGUAAAGCAGCUAGCUUUUCCAUGUUUCCAGCAACACUUGAGAGACCAUAAGCAUUCCGGGUAGGAAAGUACAUGAUAUCAUUCAAAGUUGUUUUGUGUGCUUCGACAAAUUCAUCAAGAGAUUCACCCUCAUGUCCCAUUGCCACACGAACAAACUGAGCCUCAUCCUUGAUCAAUCCAUCAGCCUGCAUGAGUGGAGUUAGUUAUGUUGCCGUAGAUGAAGAUAAAAUCAAACAAACUCCAGAAAACAUUACUGUUUGCACACGGAAUUGGUAAUGACUGCAGUAGAUGAAGAUAAAAUCAAACAAACUCCAGAAAACAUUACUGUUUGCACACGGAAUUGGUAAUGACUAGGGCAUAUCUAAUAGCACAAUGUAAAAAUGGAAAAGGUGCCUAUGCAAAAAGGCCUGAUUUAUUUACUUCCAAAUAUUAUUUUAACAGUCAAAUGCACAUAGAAACACUGAAUUUUGCAGGAAAAAAAAGCCACAAUGAACAUAUUUCACACAAACACAAAUGGCAUCCAAGUGAGUACUUAAUGAUCCCCCAGAGUGGAACCAUUAGCAUUUUUUGGCGUCUGAUCGAAAGACCCGAAUGUCCAAUUUCAGUUAAUUAGUCAUCAUAACAAUAAAUACUAAAAACAAAACCGGGACACCAUGUAUGGUGUCAUGGGUGUAGGAGUAGGGUUCAUAAAGUUGAGCAUGUAAGCUAGCUUGUUGAGUGGAGUCAAGAAUGAAUAUAUAUAUAUAUAGUUGUCCAGCCUAUUGAACCUAUUCUUUUUCCCACAAAUCCUUACAGCCAUAGUUUAGUGAAAUUUUAUCAGCAAUUGUAGGAAUGAUUCCAUAUAUCCAUUACAUAAAAAGGUUAGAUGAUAUUGUAAAAGAACAGUGUCCAAAUGCUUUAUAUUGAAAUUUAGGCAACUCAUUUUCUUUUCUAGUAUUAAUUUGACACAAACAACUCUGAAGUCUAACAUGCAUUUGAAGUAAUCUGAAACUCUUUUGCUCAAAAAUAAAAAGUCCACUUAGGAUUUUGCAUAUCAUUUUUAAUUACCUUAAUGCCGCAAAGCAGGUAAGACUGCUCCUGGGAAAAUAAAUUGACACAAGGGUAGAGCCAAACCAUUUUUCUUUAUGUAACAUGAAUGUACCUCUUUCAGUUCAUCUUCCUCAAAGUCCUCAAUUGCAGGUUCAGCAAGCACUUUCCGCGUGACCCCCUUUUUCUUCUCCUUCUCUGGUUUUUCAUCUAGAGGAUACUUGCUAUUAUCAUGUUCUAGCAAAGACAGAAGUUCCUUCCUAAUCAUUUCAUCAGCCUGCUCAAUUAGUGUAGGAGGAACAAAGGAGCUCUUAUCUUCAUCAGCUCUCAAUAAGGAACUUCUUAUUAGUUCCAGUGAAGCAAUGGGAGGUCUAGGGAGCUCUCUCUGCAAUACUUUUGUUAAGGAACUUCGUAUUAGCUCUAGUGAAGCAAUGGGAGGUCUAGGGAGCUCUCUCUGCAGUACUUUUGACCUUUUCCGGAGUAAAGCUUGUUGCCUUGCUUCUUCUUCGGCCUUCUCCCUUGCAAUCCUAUCAGACAUGUCUUCUUCAAUAUUCUCUUCUGGUGGUUCUUCAUUUUCUUCAUG
rnacentral:lncRNA from 1 species